rfam:Terasakiispira papahanaumokuakeensis strain PH27A scaffold00001, whole genome shotgun sequence.
GGUGCCGGGAUGAUGUCGAAAGGCAUCUUAUCUUUUAAGCGAUUGUCAUAUUGAGAGGCAUAUUAUGCUGACAGCUGAACAGAAAGCGCAGAUCGUCACUGAUUUUGGUCGUGGUGCU